rnacentral:lncRNA from 1 species
GGGAAACAAGCCCUAGUUCCGCCGAUGGAGAGGAGCGCCGGCGAGGAGCAAACAAGCCCUAGUUCCGCCGAUGGAGAGGAGCGCCGGCGAGGAGGUUGGCCGUGGCGUCGCUUGCGAGGAGGGUGGAGGCGCCGGACAGCAGGAGGGUGGCGUUCCGAUGGGUACAAUCUAUUGUCUCCGAUGCCGGCCAGGAGGGCGGCGUUCCGAUGGGUGGGAGGAGGGGCGGUGGUGAACUGGUGACGCCGGCGUCGGCCAGAAGGGUGGCGUUCCAACAGAAGAUAUCCUAGCUGUUCCAGGAAGCUCGCGAGCACUGCUUCUCUCGCUUCUCUCUGAUUUCGAGAAGUAUAUGUCACUCAUCUCUACUUCUAGUUAUCUCUAUCGACAUCUGUACAUCUUCUAGUUACCGAAAUCUGCACAGAUUCAACAAUUUUACUCUAGACAAUAUAUAGAGUAAGAAUGGGGAAAUGGUGUACCUAUCUCUAUCUGCACUGGUUCAUCUCAUUAACUAGGAUAUAUAGAAUAAGAAUGGGGCGAUGAUGUUUUUACCCAACUUAAUUUGGUGCUCAAUCAUGAUUAUGUCCUCCUUUUUCUUACUUUGUGAUUUUGUCCCUGUUUUUUUUUUUUGCGAACUGAAGCUACCUUUUGCCCCUAGUUCAGACUUAUGAUAAUUACAAAGUAUAUGCAAUGGUUAUUGCAGCGAAAGACAAUCUUUACUACCAUCUCUGGUGCCACUGGGCGACGUUCCGAUGGGUAUGAGGAGGGGCAGUGGUGGCGCUGGCGCUGACCAGGAGGGCGGCGUUCCGAUGGGUGGGAGUAGGGGCAGUGGCGAUGCCGGCACUAACAAGGAGCACGGCGUUCCGAUGGGUGGGAGGAGGGGCAGUGGUGGUGCCUGCGCUGACCAGGAGGGCGGCAUUCCGAUGGGUGGGAGGAGUGGCGGUAGUGGUGCCGGCGUCGGCUUGGAUUGGGUGUGGGACUGGCGUAAUCCCAACAGGUCUGUGCCGCCACCACCAACAGAAGAUAUCCCAGCUGUCCCAGGAAGCUCAGGAGUACUACCUCUCUCUAAUCUCCAGAGCAAAAGACAAUAUUUAGUAUCAUCUCUGAUGCUGCUAUCAUCUCUGCCUCUCUCUGAUCUCCAGAGGCAUUCUGAGAAAUUAUCUGAUACACAUGGAUCAGAUAAGGAAGAUGAAGUGGUGGAUUCUUCAGACGAUGAUUGUGAUCCAUAUUUUAACUAUUUGGUUGAUAGCUUUAUGACUGCAACUAAAGCUCAACCAAAACAGUUGUAUGGCAAUAUUGAUCUUGUUGCAGCUGCACAACGUCAGUCUAAUGAGUAUGCAAGUAGUGCUUUGGAUUACUAUAACAAGGAUGAAAACAAUAAGAUUCAAUACAGCUUAAUCAAAGCCUUAAAAAGCAGUACAAUUAGAGAGAAGGGUGAGAAAUAUGGACAUGUCAACUUCAUAGCAUCUUUAGAUUCAAAGGAAGAGCUAUUUUUCGCCGAAGUUUGUUGGGAUCCCAAGAACUAUGAUAUGGUGCCGACCUGCAUUGUAUCUCUUGAGGAGAAAAGGAGAAUUGGGGGACGCUCCUUUAUUAAUGACGAGUAUGUGGUGUGUCUGGAUCUCCAGAAUCCGCCUAUAGAUGGCAAGCACUGCUAUGGAUGUAGCGAAGAGAUUAAGCACCCAGAAGAUGGAUCUACGUUUAAGGCGGGCAUGUAGCCGCCACCGGUUUUUAUGAUUCUUUCAUGUAGCUGCCAUCAGUUACUAUUCUUUCUUCCGAGUUUGUAUAAAAGCUCAACUAAUCUACCCUUAACAGCUGUUUUUACUGUUCUAUUUAUUUUGCAUCUUGUCUACACUAGCAGACUUAUUUUGUGGCUAUGAAUGGAUGAAUAUGCUGCGUUAUGU